ACAUAUCCCACUACUCUUGCAUUUUCUGUCAACCGGUGCGAAUCGUCACGCAUCUGUACUGGUUUUUAAUCGUGUCACGAUGCAUCGUUACAUCCCUACUAACCAGGCAAGAAACCUGUCAUGUACAUAAUAAUUCUGGUUUUGAAAGGCAAUAAAGAAAUUUUACUCACUUACUUACAGUUUGCAUCUUUAACUUCUCUUUUAUAUUUGCAGACAGAGACGGCUGCCUGGGACAAUUUAUUCAAACUGUGUACAGAACAGCUAAAACCACCAUCACAUGUAAUUAUCCAAGAAAUACAGAUGAGUCCGAUGUCCUGUUUUUCUGCAAAGAGAACAAAAUCACCUGUGAGGACAUCUUAUCAACUGAAUCUUGUCCAGUGUCAAACGAGACAUUCACUCUCACAAAAACCAACACAGGCUUCACCGUGUCCAUCAGUAAAGUGUCCUCACAUCAUGCUGGUGUCUACUGGUGUGGAGUAAAGUCAAAUGAAGGAAGUUACCGAGCUGGAUUCAGAAAAAUACAACUAGAAGUUAAAGAUAUUAUAAUCUUCACAAGCUCUCUAACUAUUGGACAGAAUUUUACAUACUGGUGUGCAUAUCCAUUUGGUACUCCGAUAAAGAAAUUCAUCUGUAAGGGAGAAGAUCCAUCUAUAUGUGAACCUCUAGUGAACACCAUGCAGCUCAACAAGAACACUGGGAGGUUUUCCAUGGUGGAUGACAGAAACAAAAACAUCACCAUAACAGUGAGAGAAGUAACAACAGACGACACUGGGACAUACU